rnacentral:lncRNA from 1 species
CGUUGACUGCGGUAGCGGAGGGGGACGACAGGAAAGGCUCUUCGUCUAAAGUUUCAGUGGAUUGAGUGAAGAGAGAAAAAAAGAUGGUAAUUGAAUUUUCUUUUUUUUUUCUUUUAUGUUUGUAAUCAGGCCAAAUGGACUAGGUGUGGUGGGUUGAGUAGAGUAAUCUUUUAUUUUUGGUUGGAUUGAGCUUUAUAUUUAGGCAUUAGUAGAUAUUUUUUUAAGUUUUAGGAUAAAUGGGAC